rnacentral:lncRNA from 1 species
UAGGCAUGUACUUACUAAUUGGUGGAAAAUGUCUCUUCCUGCCUCAGCUGAGCUCUUUGUAUUUCUUACAGGUUGUAGAAAGGUGUUCACAGAAGUUGGAGGCUACGACCAGAAGUGCCACAAGCUCUGAGGUUCACAGUGCUCCAAGAGAAGUUGGUAUGGCUGUCCCCUGGUCAUCUCCAGAAUAUCACUUGCCAGCUUUUUCCGUACCCAUUCCACAGCUGAAUCUCUUGGGCAGAGCAAGAACAUGUACCUGUGCCCCUUAUAACAUGGCCUUGGGCAGUAGAAAGGUUUAUACAUCCCAUAUGGAACUUUAUGACUUCAGGUAAGAAAGAAGUAAUUAAAGCAUAUGAAUUUUAAGAGAACUGUUUAUAUGCAAAUAUAUUAGUGG